ensembl:lncRNA
GUUAAUGACUGUGUUUGUGUGUGUUCAUUAGCGACCAAGUGACCAGCCCUCACCAAGUCCUUUAGAAACUGGGAGCUCACAGUCUGGCCCCUGGGCAGCCUCCUUCAUUCAUUAGGAAACUAGAACCUUCUGCGUUAAAUAGAGCAUUUUGUUUGAAUGAAGAUUUUUCCCGUCUGUGCACGCAGACACGGCGGCCGCAGGAGAUGCGUGGAUUCAAAGGCUUCCUCCAGCCUGUGGGUGCUGGGGAGGGGAUGGGAGCAUAAGCAGUCCAUACCACUGCCUCCUUUGUCUGAAGGGGGACUGGAUAUGGAGGAUGUGCUUUCCCCUUUCUCUCCAAGUUCCAGGGGGAACCUUGAACCUGAGGUAGAAGCUAUUCAGACUCAAUGAUUACAGGCAACAAGGAGAGAAAUCUUCUAGGGCCCAGCCUUCAGCUGGCAACACCAGCAUUCAUCUUGUUUUUCUGGAGAAAGUAGGAGAUGUCAGUCCUGACCAUGGUGUAAGACUCGGGGAACUUCAGAGGGGCCCCAGAGCAGCUCCUCACCUUGCUCAUCUUGCCUCCUCUCUGCCUCUCAGCUGCCCGGAAUUGACUAUAUCAUCCUAAGCUAAUUUUUUCCUCUGCCUCUUCAUCUGGAGACUCCCCCAGAGCAGCAUUAACUCAGGCAAAGCCCCAAACCUCCCUGGGCCUAUUUACCUCUAAAAAAAAGUCCCUGGUUGAGAAGUUCAAGUUGAAUGUGGAUGCAAAAGCAUUUUUUAAACCAUAGUACAUUGAAGAAUAUGAUUGUUCUCCUUGGGAGGGCAGGGGUGCUGAAUUGAGGCUAGCCUGGAUUCAUCCUCCUAUCUAUGGUAGAGACAUCAAACUAGCAGACCUUGGAGUCCCAGAGCACCUCCAAAGUGAAAAUGUGUCUGAAGAGAUGCUGCUUGUGGAAGCAGAGUUCUUCACUUUGCUGGGCUUCAGAACUCCCGUUGGAUCUGGAAAUGCCAAGUGGAUGGGGAUUGUAUUAAGUGGCCUCAAAGGCCCUCCAUCUUCCUCAGACUCCAAGAGGCUGAAUGACUCACCCAAAGGUCAGCUCGGAAGCCAUGCAAAUGCGGAAGCUGCUUAGGUGCUUCAGGUAACAGUCUUGAUGCAAGCAGGUCAAGAUGGCAGGUGGUUCUUCUCCAGUCAUCCUGAAACCCUAGGUGCAAUUCUGCUGCUGAGUCACUUCAGUCG